rnacentral:lncRNA from 1 species
UAAAAUCAUGAUCAAAAAAUAAUAGACAGAAUAAGGAUCACAAUGCAAAAAAUUGGAGUGAAUUUGGAUGAAUUUUCAAUUUUAUAUGAUUUUAUGAAGUUGAAGAAAAAAUUAAAAAAAUGAAAUGGAGCUAGCAUGGAAAAUGGAGGGAAAGUGGAUAAACAUGUGAAGCAUUUGAAAAAAAACUCUCGCCAGGGAUCGAAC